GUCCACACUGUAAACGUUGAUUACUCGCUGUGUGCGAUAUACAGUACGCGGCCAAGCGAAAGCGAUAAGUAAUCCACCUGGGGAGUACGCCGGCAACGGUGAAACUCAAAGGAAUUGACGGGGUCCGCACAAGCGGUGGAGCAUGUGGUUUAAUUCGAUGAUACGCGAGGAACCUUACCUGGGCUAGAAUGCCCUUGACCGAUCCAGAGAUGGAUUUUUCAGCAAUGACAAGGAGCAAGGUGCUGCAUGGCUGUCGU
rnacentral:rRNA from 1 species